rnacentral:rRNA from 1 species
UACGAAGGGGGCGAGCGUUGUUCGGAUUUACUUGGCGUAAAGGGCGCGUAGGCGGCCCUCUUUGUUGCGUGUGAAAGCCCCGGGCUCAACCUGGGAAUUGCGCGCGAAACGGGGGGGCUUGAGUUCGGGAGAGGAGCGUGGAAUUCCCAGUGUAGAGGUGAAAUUCGUAGAUAUUGGGAAGAACACCGGUGGCGAAGGCGGCGCUCUGGACCGAGACUGACGCUGAGGCGCGAAAGCGUGGGGAGCAAACAGG